rnacentral:lncRNA from 1 species
GGGCGUCUGACUCUCCUUCUUCCCCUUGUCUCACUUAAGCCUUUAAGAAGAGGUUGCGUAUUUUUCUUGCUCCUAGUAUGUCUAGUCUCUUGCUGCAUGCACAAGAAACACAAACCCUAGUAGCACUUUUAUAUAAAAAUAAAAAUAAAAAAAAUAAAAAGAUAAAAAGAUAAAAACAAAAUAUAUACAAUCAAGUCAAAGUUAAUCAAUUUACACUACUAGAUAAGUUAAACCACGAGUCCCCGGCAACG